UACGUAGGGUGCGAGCGUUGUCCGGAAUUAUUGGGCGUAAAGGGCUCGUAGGCGGUCUGUCGCGUCGAAAGUGAAAACUCAGGGCUUAACCCUGAGCCUGCUUCCGAUACGGGCAGACUAGAGGUAUGCAGGGGAGGACGGAAUUCCUGGUGUAGCGGUGGAAUGCGCAGAUAUCAGGAGGAACACCGGUGGCGAAGGCGGUUCUCUGGGCAUUACCUGACGCUGAGGAGCGAAAGUGUGGGGAGCGAACAGG
rnacentral:rRNA from 1 species